AGCUGUAGUCAGGCGUGAAGGGUUCGAACCUGCAGCAGGUUUGAGUUGAGCGAAAGCGAAACAACGUUCUGGUAACAACGGCCCGAAGGGUGAUAAUCAUCCUGCACGACCCACCG
rnacentral:sRNA from 1 species